rnacentral:rRNA from 1 species
UCCGAAGGGGGCUAUCGUUGUUCGGAAUUACUGGGCGUAAAGCGCACGUAGGCGGAUAAUUAAGUCAGGGGUGAAAUCCCGGGGCUCAACCCCGGAACUGCCUUUGAUACUGGUUAUCUAGAGUAUGGAAGAGGUGAGUGGAAUUCCGAGUGUAGAGGUGAAAUUCGUAGAUAUUCGGAGGAACACCAGUGGCGAAGGCGGCUCACUGGUCCAUUACUGACGCUGAGGUGCGAAAGCGUGGGGAGUAAACAGG